ensembl:misc_RNA Metazoa_SRP Metazoan signal recognition particle RNA
GCUGGGCAUGGUGGUGGGUGCCUGUAAUCCCAGCUACUUGGGAAACUGAGGCAGGAGAAUCACUUGAACCCAGGAGUCGGAGGUGGUAGUGAGCUGAGAUCGCACCACUGCACUCCAGCCUGGGUGACAGAGUGAGACUCUGUCUCAA